rnacentral:rRNA from 1 species
UACGGAGGGAGCUAGCGUUGUUCGGAAUUACUGGGCGUAAAGCGCACGUAGGCGGCGAUUCAAGUCAGAGGUGAAAGCCCGGGGCUCAACCCCGGAACUGCCUUUGAAACUAGAUUGCUAGAAUCCUGGAGAGGCGAGUGGAAUUCCGAGUGUAGAGGUGAAAUUCGUAGAUAUUCGGAAGAACACCAGUGGCGAAGGCGACUCGCUGGACAGGUAUUGACGCUGAGGCGCGAAAGCGUGGGGAGCAAACAGG